CUACGGGGGGCUGCAGUGGGGAAUAUUGCGCAAUGGGGGAAACCCUGACGCAGCAACGCCGCGUGAAGGAUGAAGGUUUUCGGAUCGUAAACUUCUUUGAUGAGGGAAGAAAAAAAUGACGGUACCUCAAAAACAAGCCACGGCUAACUACGUGCCAGCAGCCGCGGUAAUACGUAGGUGGCGAGCGUUGUCCGGAAUUACUGGGUGUAAAGGGCGUGUAGGCGGGAAUGUAAGUCAGACGUGAAAUUCCGAGGCUCAACCUCGGAGCUGCAUCUGAAACUAUAUUUCUUGAGUGCUGGAGAGGAAAGCGGAAUUCCUAGUGUAGCGGUGAAAUGCGUAGAUAUUAGGAGGAACACCAGUGGCGAAGGCGGCUUUCUGGACAGUAACUGACGCUGAGGCGCGAAAGCGUGGGGAGCAAACAGGAUUAGAUACCCCGGUAGUC
rnacentral:rRNA from 1 species